rnacentral:lncRNA from 1 species
UAUUUAUAAUUAAUAAGAUUAUAUACCAAAUAAAAAACAAAUAUAAAAGAGCUAAACUUCUUAUAAUUAAAUAAACUAGUAAAUCAUAGACAUUUUAUGUUUCACUAGCAUUCUUAUGAAACUGCUCUUUUUGGUUUAUAUCCUACCUAAUGGAUCUUGAGAUAAAUAAGGAUAACGGGAAAGACUUGACAGCACUGCCUUUUGGCCUAUAUGUAUCGCUAAAUCUUUUGGUAGAUCUCCUGAUUCAAAGCAUAAGUAUCUGUGAUUUGACCCAUAGGCAAAAGUAGCUGAACAACACUGCUGUUGUUUUGGUUUUUGUCUCCUGUUGCUGUGGUCAGCUGGGUGUUGAGUGGGACUCCGUGCUGGAGAGCUGCUGUGAAGGCUCAGAACCAGAGCAUGACAGUUUAAGAGUCACAGGAAAUGAAACGGAAAGCUGAUUGACUUCUCACACAGAACAAAUCUCUAGGAUAGCUGAAAGAUUGCAGUUGGGAACAAAGACAGAUUCACUGCGUUUUCAGGGUAACCUCUGCACAUCCAGGCUUGGGGAGCUGGGAUACUCUCCUGCACCUUCCAGUAGGUUUGGAAAUUCAGUAGAUAUAUUAAGAGUAGAUCAGCCUUUGGGAGUGGAUGCCUCUUACAUUUUGAUAAAUAAAUUGCUUCAGGAUUUAAAGUAUAUCCACUGUAAGGAUGAGAUAUACUGGAUUAGAAUUAAGAGAUUUACUUGGUCUACUUUCCCCACAAAACCAACAUUCCUUCACAUCAAAUCACAGUGUGUUCCCAAGGCAUAAAUAGCAAUGAGCUUGACUUGAAACGUACUGUGGAAAUGAAGCCUCUUAUAUUUCUAAAAUAUAAUAGCAUUCUAAGAAUCUACAUGUAUAUAUUUGUUUUCAGAAGUCAGACGCUUAAUACUGUAUAAAACAUGUCCAGCCAUGCUUAAAACUUACGUUUUGAAAGAAUCGGCACUCAUAAUUUAUAUUUCUAAUUCUGUUUCAUCACUUUAAAUUUACAUCUGUGUAAUUAAAAUUUAUAGUGUGGUGAGUACUACAUAUAUAUCACAAUCAUAUGAUUUGAAAACCAUUACUAUUAGUAUACUCCUCUGAUCCUUAAGACAAUAUAAAUAAGAUAAAACUUGAAGUAGAUCAGCAUACAGCAGAUUAAUUCGUGAAACCAUCUUCUUAAUAAACAAUAAGCAUUUCCCAUGUUUGAUAUGGUCUAUUAUACAUUUAGAUGGCAGAAAUUAUUUUAAAAGUAUUCCAGUCUUUGAGUUAACUGGGUGAACUCUUACUAGUUACAUUAAAAAUUGUUACUAAACAGAUUUAUGUUUUCUGGCUUCAUAUGCCUAUGGCCAUCAUGAUCUGAAAAUAUGCAACAAUAUGCAACAAUAUGUAACAAUAUGCAACAAUAUGUAACAAUAUGCAACAAUAUGCAACAAUAUGUAGCAAUAUGUAAACAAUGUAUAUACUUAAAUUUUAGUGGUACUGAAUUUACAAAUCUGCUGAAACAGGCAUACCAGCUAUCCAAGGCUGACUCAAAUUUGGGUUUGCAGACAUUCUCCAUGAAAAGUCAAUGUUUUUUUUUUUUUCUUUAGUUCAUUUUAAAUCUUUUUUUUUCAUCUCCCUGUAUUCAAACAUGUUCUG